GUAGGGAAUAUUGCACAAUGGGGGAAACCCUGAUGCAGCGACGCCGCGUGAGUGAUGAAGGCCUUCGGGUCGUAAAGCUCUGUCGUAUGGGACUAACAAAAUGAAGGUACCAUGCAAGAAAGGAUCGGCUAACUUCGUGCCAGCAGCCGCGGUAAGACGAGGGAUCCUAGCGUUGUUCGGAAUUAUUGGGCGUAAAGCGGGUGUAGGCGGGCCUGUCAGUCAGGUGUGAAAUCCCAGGGCUUAACCCUGGAAGUGCACUUGAUACUGCAGGUCUUGAGUGUGGUAGAGGCUAUUAGAAUUCUUGGUGUAGUGGUGAAAUACGUAGAUAUCAAGAGGAAUACCGGAGGCGAAGGCGGAUAGCUGGGCCAACACUGACGCUGAGACCCGAAAGCGUGGGGAUCAAACAGGAUUAGAAACCCGUGUAGUCC
rnacentral:rRNA from 1 species